rnacentral:rRNA from 1 species
UACGUAGGGCGCGAGCGUUGUCCGGAUUUAUUGGGCGUAAAGAGCUCGUAGGCGGUUUGUCGCGUCUGCCGUGAAAGUCCGGGGCUCAACUCCGGAUCUGCGGUGGGUACGGGCAGACUAGAGUGAUGUAGGGGAGACUGGAAUUCCUGGUGUAGCGGUGAAAUGCGCAGAUAUCAGGAGGAACACCGAUGGCGAAGGCAGGUCUCUGGGCAUUAACUGACGCUGAGGAGCGAAAGCAUGGGGAGCGAACAGG